ACCACUAAAAUAUUGGCCAUCAAAAAAAGGAAAAAAAGAGGAAGUGCAAGAUUGCCAUGUAUAAUUUCCACCGCAUUCGAAAGGUCAAGAUUGAGCAACUCAUCAACACUAAAAUAUAAAUCUUUAGGUUUUUGAAGUUUUUAGGUUACUGUUGAUGAACUAUUUACAUCUUCAGAAGACUUUAAUCUAUUCAAUUGUUCGUCAAAUUGAUCAAAAAUUGGGUGAGCUUUUGAUGAUUAUCAAAAACAACGGAUGUGUUAACUGAUAAUUGACUCAAGAGUAGCAUCAACAACAUCAAAUUCACUGUUUGUUGACUUUGCUUCUUUGUCACCACCCUGGUGCAUUAACUUGUUUACUAAAGACCAUUUGCUUUUUUGGGUUUCCAACUUUGCACCACCGAUAUAGGACAACACGGACUUAAAGAUAUCAAGGGUUACGGCCUCUACAUCUUUCAACAUGGUCUUGAUGGCAUCACCCUCGAUAGUUUGGCUUGGUGGUUGGUGCUUAAUUGAUAAACCACUAUGCACACGAGUGGCUAGCUAAGUCCUACAAGGCUACAAAGCAGGCAGAUAUAUCCAUGUAGAAGAAGAUCUUAUGGUGGGCUUCUACUAUACAUCAUAUAUGUGAUAUUCAAUGUCGUAUUCUGCUCAUGUCUUCAUCAUGAUCCUAAGUGAUCGCCAUGCACGAGUGGUAAUGACACGAUUUAUAACAACCAAGUUGCUAACAUGAUCCAAGAAGGUAGGCAACCGCUGUGUUGGAGAUUUCAAACGAAGAGCAAAAAUCAGUACAGCAAACCCAAGACUUGCAUAUAUCAUCUGCAGUGUAGUGCUUGCCUACCUUGUUGGAUCAUGUUGGGAACAAUGUACAGCACAACCAAGACUUGCAUAUCAAGGUGACUCGUGCAAAUCCAUUAAUUUGCAUAACCAGCAUGCAGAGCUAAGAUUUCAAACGAAGAGAAAAAAUCAGGACAGCACACCCAAGACUUGCAUAUAUCAUCUGCAGUGUAGUGCUUGCCUACCUUGUUGGUUCAUGUUGGGAACAAUGUACAGCACAACCAAGACUUGCAUAUGAAGGUGAUUUAGCAUAACCAGCAUGCAGAGCUAAGAUUUCAAACGAAGAGCAAAAUCAGUACAGCACACCCAAGACUUGCAUAUAUCAUCUGCAGUGUAGUGCUUGCCUACCUUGUUGGAUCAUGUUGGGAACAAUGUACAGCACAACCAAGACUUGCAUAUCAAGGUGACUCGUGCAAAUCCAUUAAUUUGCAUAACCAGCAUGCAGAGCUAAGAUUUCGAAAGAAGAGCAAAAUCAUUACAACAGCAUAACCAAGACUUUGCAUAUAUCAUCUGCAGCGCAGUGCUUGGCUACCUUGUUGGAUCAUUUUGCGAACAAUUUACAGCACACCCAAGACUUGCAUAUCAAGGUGACUCGUGCAAAUCUAUUAAUUAGCAUAAACAGCAUGCAGAGCUAAG